GUCACAAACACCUCAGGACUUUACUCAGC
rnacentral:piRNA from 1 species